AUAUUUAGUAGCACCCUGAUCAUCAUCUGUUGACUGAGUUCACUAAGUGCAUCUCACUUGAUAGAACUAACUGUUGAAAGGUUUUGUAGAUAAAUAUUUUGAGUGUAAAGUUUAUACAUUUAUGAGUCCUGACCAAGGGCAGUUGUGAAAAAUGCAACUACAGGCCCUCUGGCAGGAAUCCAACCAGCUGCACCCUUACUUUUGUAUAUAUACAUGAACGUGCAGUUAGAGCUUGACACCUGAACUUUGUA